GAUGAACGCUGGCGGCGUGCCUAAUACAUGCAAGUCGAGCGAACAGACGAGGAGCUUGCUCCUCUGACGUUAGCGGCGGACGGGUGAGUAACACGUGGAUAACCUACCUAUAAGACUGGGAUAACUUCGGGAAACCGGAGCUAAUACCGGAUAAUAUAUUGAACCGCAUGGUUCAAUAGUGAAAGACGGUUUUGCUGUCACUUAUAGAUAGAUCCGCGCCGCAUUAGCUAGUUGGUAAGGUAACGGCUUACCAAGGCGACGAUGCGUAGCCGACCUGAGAGGGUGAUCGGCCACACUGGAACUGAGACACGGUCCAGACUCCUACGGGAGGCAGCAGUAGGGAAUCUUCCGCAAUGGGCGAAAGCCUGACGGAGCAACGCCGCGUGAGUGAUGAAGGUCUUCGGAUCGUAAAACUCUGUUAUUAGGGAAGAACAAAUGUGUAAGUAACUAUGCACGUCUUGACGGUACCUAAUCAGAAAGCCACGGCUAACUACGU
rnacentral:rRNA from 1 species